AGUAUUCUCAGGCGCUUGAGAGAACUCGGGAGAAGGAACUCGGCAAAUUGACACCGUAACUUCGGAAGAAGGUGUGCCUUUAGUAGGUGAACCCGUACAGGGGGAGCCCAAUGAGGUUGCAAAGAAUCGGUGGCUGCGACUGUUUAAUAAAAACACAGCACUCUGCAAACACGAAAGUGGACGUAUAGGGUGUGACGCCUGCCCGGUGCUGGAAGAUUAAGUGAUGGGGUGCAAGCUCUUGAUCGAAGUCCCAGUAAACGGCGGCCGUAACUAUAACGGUCCUAAGGUAGCGAAAUUCCUUGUCGGGUAAGUUCCGACCUGCACGAAUGGCGUAACGAUGGCCACACUGUCUCCUCCCGAGACUCAGCGAAGUUGAAAUGUUUGUGAUGAUGCAAUCUCCCCGCGGAAAGACGGAAAGACCCCAUGAACCUUUACUGUAGCUUUGUAUUGGACUUUGAACGGAUCUGUGUAGGAUAGGUGGGAGGCUUUGAAGCAGGGUCGCUAGAUCUUGUGGAGCCAACGUUGAAAUACCACCCUGGUGCGUUUGAGGUUCUAACCCAGGCCCGUUAUCCGGGUCGGGGACAGUGCAUGGUAGGCAGUUUGACUGGGGCGGUCUCCUCCCAAAGCGUAACGGAGGAGUUCGAAGGUACGCUAGUUACGGUCGGACAUCGUGACGAUAGUGCAAUGGCAUAAGCGUGCUUAACUGCGAGACCGACAAGUCGAGCAGAUGCGAAAGCAGGACAUAGUGAUCCGGUGGUUCUGUAUGGAAGGGCCAUCACUCAACGGAUAAAAGGUACUCUGGGGAUAACAGGCUGAUACCGCCCAAGAGUUCAUAUCGACGGCGGUGUUUGGCACCUCGAUGUCGGCUCAUCUCAUCCUGGGGCUGUAGCCGGUCCCAAGGGUAUGGCUGUUCGCCAUUUAAAGAGGUACGUGAGCUGGGUUUAAAACGUCGUGAGACAGUUUGGUCCCUAUCUUCCGUGGGCGCUGCAGAUUUGAGGAAGCCUGCUCCUAGUACGAGAGGACCGGAGUGGACGCACCUCUGGUGUACCUGUUGUCACGCCAGUGGCAUUGCAGGGUAGCUAAGUGCGGAAGAGAUAACCGCUGAAAGCAUCUAAGCGGGAAACUCGUUUCAAGAUGAGAUCUGCCGGGGCCUUGAGCCCCCUGAAGAGUCGUUCUAGACCAGGACGUUGAUAGGCUGGGUGUGGAAGCGCAGUAAUGCGUUAAGCUAACCAGUACUAAUUGCUCGUGCGGCUUGACCC
rnacentral:rRNA from 1 species